UACGGAGGGUGCAAGCGUUAUCCGGAUUCACUGGGUUUAAAGGGUGCGUAGGUGGGCAGUUAAGUCAGUGGUGAAAUCUCCGGGCUCAACCCGGAAACUGCCAUUGAUACUAUCUGUCUUGAAUAUCGUGGAGGUAAGCUGAAUAUGUCAUGUAGCGGUGAAAUGCUUAGAUAUGACAUAGAACACCAAUUGCGAAGGCAGCUUACUACCCGAAUAUUGACACUGAGGCACGAAAGCGUGGGGAUCAAACAGG
rnacentral:rRNA from 1 species